GCCCGCCUAGCUCAAUCGGAUAGAGCGUCAGACUUUUAAGGCAAAGGGCAUCUGAAGGCUGCGAGUUCGACCCUCGCGGUGGGCU